rnacentral:rRNA from 1 species
CCUACGGGAGGCAGCAGUGAGGAAUAUUGGUCAAUGGCCGAGAGGCUGAACCAGCCAAGUCGCGUGAGGGAAGACGGCCCUACGGGUUGUAAACCUCUUUUGUCGGGGAGCAAAGCGAGUCACGUGUGACUCAUUGAGAGUACCCGAAGAAAAAGCAUCGGCUAACUCCGUGCCAGCAGCCGCGGUAAUACGGAGGAUGCGAGCGUUAUCCGGAUUUAUUGGGUUUAAAGGGUGCGCAGGCGGAGGUGCAAGUCAGCGGUCAAAUUGCGGGGCUCAACCCCGUACUGCCGUUGAAACUGCAUCCCUUGAGUGCGCGAGAAGUAUGCGGAAUGCGUGGUGUAGCGGUGAAAUGCAUAGAUAUCACGCAGAACUCCGAUUGCGAAGGCAGCAUACCGGCGCGCAACUGACGCUCAUGCACGAAAGCGUGGGUAUCGAACAGGAUUAGAUACCCCAGUAGUC